GGUCCCGUAGUUCAACGGAUAGAACAAGAGUUUCCUAAACUUUAGAUACAGGUUCGAUUCCUGUCGGGAUCA
rnacentral:tRNA from 1 species